rnacentral:rRNA from 1 species
GAUGAACGCUAGCGGCAGGCUUAACACAUGCAAGUCGAGGGGCAGCAUGAUGAAACUUUCGGGUUUCAUUGAUGGCGACCGGCGCAAGGGUGCGUAACGGCGUGAGCAACUUGCCCUUAUCAGGGGGAUAACCGGUGGAAACGCCGACUAAUACCCCAUAGCAUCACUUUAAGGCAUCUUUUAGUGAUUAAAGAAUUUCGGAUAAGGAUAGGCUCGCGUGACAUUAGCUAGAUGGCGGGGUAACGGCCCACCAUGGCGACGAUGUCUAGGGGGUUCUGAGAGGGAAGGUCCCCCACACUGGAACUGAGACACGGUCCAGACUCCUACGGGAGCAGCAGUGAGGAAUAUUGGUCAAUGGGCCGAGAGGCUGAACCAGCCAUGCCGCGUGAAGGUCACGGCCCUAUGGGUCUUAAACGUCUUUGAAGGAGCAAUAAGGUUCACGUGUGGACUGAUGAGAGUACCUUACGAAUAAGCAUCGGCUAACUCCGUGCCAGCA